UUCACCAAGCCUGCCCAAUUUGA
rnacentral:misc_RNA from 1 species